rnacentral:rRNA from 1 species
AGAGUUUGAUCAUGGCUCAGAGCGAACGCUGGCGGCAGGCUUAACACAUGCAAGUCGAGCGGGCGUAGCAAUACGUCAGCGGCAGACGGGUGAGUAACGCGUGGGAACGUACCUUUUGGUUCGGAACAACACAGGGAAACUUGUGCUAAUACCGGAUAAGCCCUUACGGGGAAAGAUUUAUCGCCGAAAGAUCGGCCCGCGUCUGAUUAGCUAGUUGGUAGGGUAACGGCCUACCAAGGCGACGAUCAGUAGCUGGUCUGAGAGGAUGAUCAGCCACAUUGGGACUGAGACACGGCCCAAACUCCUACGGGAGGCAGCAGUGGGGAAUAUUGGACAAUGGGCGCAAGCCUGAUCCAGCCAUGCCGCGUGAGUGAUGAAGGCCCUAGGGUUGUAAAGCUCUUUUGUGCGGGAAGAUAAUGACGGUACCGCAAGAAUAAGCCCCGGCUAACUUCGUGCCAGCAGCCGCGGUAAUACGAAGGGGGCUAGCGUUGCUCGGAAUCACUGGGCGUAAAGGGUGCGUAGGCGGGUCUUUAAGUCAGGGGUGAAAUCCUGGAGCUCAACUCCAGAACUGCCUUUGAUACUGAGGAUCUUGAGUUCGGGAGAGGUGAGUGGAACUGCGAGUGUAGAGGUGAAAUUCGUAGAUAUUCGCAAGAACACCAGUGGCGAAGGCGGCUCACUGGCCCGAUACUGACGCUGAGGCACGAAAGCGUGGGGAGCAAACAGGAUUAGAUACCCUAGUAGUCC